CUUUCUUCCCUCUCUGUCUCUCGUAAUUAUGUCAAUUUGCUAGCCAAAUUGUUUGCUCGAGUGGACAGGGGGGGCUUGUGGCCCAUUCAUGUGGUAAUGUGGGAACCGGCAGGCCUCCUGGCUGGGAAAAUAGGAGGUGCCGGACCUUGUUCGAGGGAGCAGGCGGGCUGGGGGUGUAGGCACCCAGGCCUUGGGAACUCUCCCCUAGUAGUGUGGGGCUUUGUCCCAUGAAUUCCAGAAACUUCCAGCUUGGGUUGUGCUCUGGGAUAUCCUUUGGGGCCUGUCAAGAUGAAGGAUGGGGAAGGAGGGGAGGACCCCAUAGGGGACAGAAGAGGUGGCCUCCGGGUUCCUUCAAGGUGAAGAUGGGCAGCUUGCUGUCUUUAUGCCUGGACCUCUGAGGACCAGGCUGAGGCUGGAGCGGUUUGUGAACUGGAUGGCAGGGGUCUCCAUCCUCUGGCAUCUCAUGUCUGAUGAUCUGAGGUGGAGCUGAUGUAAUAAUAAUACAAAGUGCACAGUAAGUGUAACGCACUUGAAUCAUCCUGAAAGCAUGCCUCCACCCCUGGUCCGUGGGUAAAUUGUCCUCCAUGAAACUGAUCCUUGAUGCCAAAGAGAUUGAAGGCCACUGUGAAAGGGGACCUGGGAGAUGCUGGAGAGAUGGGAUCCUGAAAGGGCAUGGAGAGUGCAGAGACCUAAGAUGACCCAGGAAGGUCAGGGUCAUGGGAGUCCUUAGCAUAGGCACACUGGCGUGAGCUGGAGUCACCUUCUACAGUCAGCACAGAGCUACGGCCACAAAGAUGGUCAGGCAUUGGACGUGGUACUUGGGAGCCAUGGCGAACGUUAGGAAGAAUGAUUGUCAACAGACCAGAUACAGGUAACUUCCCUGUCCAGGGCAUUCCCCUGCCCUCGGCUCCCCUGCCUUCCUCAGGUCCCUCUUUAGCGUGUGAGGACCUUUCUUGUCUCCCUUGGGUGUGGCAACCCAAUACCUCCAUUUCUCAGAUUAUGGGGCCCUGUGCAUUCGGGCCACUCCCUGCUGGACCCUCCUGGCUUAUUGCCGUCCCUCCCUGCAACAGAUGCUCACAGGGCUACUACUCACAUCUGCUCCUCAACUCCAACCACCAGGUGCCUCCUCACUGUGCCAUUCAGGGCUGUUAGGAUCUGCCCUGCUGGAAGCUGGCAGGAGGCUGGGGUGCAGGGUGGCACUGGAGGUUGGGGCAGGAAGAGAGAUUUGAGGGAGAGUCUGCAAUCACAGCUCAGCACCCCUCAUGCCCCAGCUGGGAGAAAAGGCCAGAAUCCAUGUUUAUCCCUGAAUGAGAUGAUGGCCAGAAAUCCUUCUUAGCGCAAAUCCAAUUUGAUGGGCAGUUGUCAUUUGACUCUACUAGGCCAGGUGCUGGAAGACAAGGGUGCUGGGAGGGGCGGGGGGAGCGGGAUGUUCCACAGCCCUGUUGAGGGCACGGAUACGGCAAUGGGUCAGGCC
ensembl:lncRNA